rnacentral:rRNA from 1 species
UACGAAGGGGGCUAGCGUUGUUCGGAAUCACUGGGCGUAAAGGGCGCGUAGGCGGCUUUAUAAGUCGGGGGUGAAAGCCUGUGGCUCAACCACAGAAUUGCCUUCGAUACUGUAGAGCUUGAGACCGGAAGAGGUAAGUGGAACUGCGAGUGUAGAGGUGAAAUUCGUAGAUAUUCGCAAGAACACCAGUGGCGAAGGCGGCUUACUGGUCCGGUUCUGACACUGAGGGACGAAAGCUAGGGGAGCGAAUGGG